rnacentral:sRNA from 1 species
UUGAUAGUCUUGGAGACUGUUGUCUUCCACAAAGCAGAUAUGAUACAAAUGCAUGCAAAAUCUCCUAUCUAAUCAAUGUGUUUCAGCCAUAAAAUAGAGAGACCAGCACAGGUUGAGAGGGUACUUCAUUCUCCAUGCCCAUUCAGUUCCUUUUUCUU